UGUCUAUCGACUCUGCGCGCUAAUCAGAGACCGGGGCUGAAUAUUGAAAAGUGCAGUCAGGUACCUGAAGUAGCGCGCGAAGUUUUAGACA
rnacentral:pre_miRNA from 1 species